ensembl:lncRNA
AAUCCAAUGAUUUAAAAAAAAGUUUUUUUCUCAUUUGCUUCUGACUUGGUAAGAGCUGUUUGCAAAGAGGGUCUGUGUUCAGGUACUUUGGAUGAAGGGGCAGGGAACGGAGGGGGUAUGUUCGAUUUCUCCCCCUUAAGGUCUCUCUUCCAUUCUGUUUCCCAAUCGCCCUGUUCAGUUUCUGCCAUUCCGGCUCCGAUUUGAGCCAAGAUGGCCGCCGCGUUCUCGUUCAGUUGUAGAAAGGAAAAUUUUGCAUGCAGUCCAUUCAUGAGGCUUCCGCUAAGUGGCUCUACUACAGUUAAGGAAGAGAAUUCAAUGUUCAGCUUAGUGUUUUCAGUUACGCUCUUGACCACUGGAGGGCGACAUAGGCCCUCAGUUGAGUUGACUUCUCUAGAAGUGUCAGUUUCAGUUCAGUGAUUUUUAACAAAGGAGACCAGCCAUUUCGGAGCACUUUUGGCCUCUACAUCCCCCUACCCACUACAUUAGUGCGUCAGUGAAUCCUUGAAGUUUAUGAAAACCACGGACCAAGCAUAGACAAACUUAACAUUCACUUCCGGGUGCUCUUUACACUUUACUAGGCCUAGUUUGAUUGAUGAAGUGGACAAGUGUUUGAUUCUCUUGCCUUUAUGACUAUGGAACACAGAUUGUGUUUCCUCUGGUGUUCCCUCCGGUGUUCCCUCCAAGCAAUAGGACAGGCUUUUGAUUGGACUAGCUGGCUUUCCCUCCCCCCUCUUCAUCCACAAGUGAUACUGAUUAUUUUCUGAAAUCGGUGUUUGUCCUUUUUUCUACCAGUGUAUGUACCUGUGAUUGGUAAUCUCGGCGUGGGUGGGAGGGAAGGGGGUGGAGUACUGUAUGGAACUGGGAGUCCUGAGGGAAUGGAAUUCGAUCCCUGUGGACUUCCAUGGUGGGACUGGUACUCUGAUGCAGUCUGAAUUUGUCGGGAUCUUAAUCUGAAUCAUAGUCGGGAACGUAUGCGUUUCAACAGGGGUGAUUUUGAAUUGACUGGACUGUAUCACCUGCAUUGGAUACAGGUGUUGGCAAUACACUGUUGAAAUCCAUGCAGUUGGUCUCUCCCAUCAUCGCCUCAUGACAUGGUGACUUUGUCCACUACCAUCAUAUCCUAUUGAUUUACCUGUCGUCCGGUCAAUUCAAACAUACCAGGACUCCUGGGAGUGUGUGUGUGUGUGUGUGUGUGUGUGUGUGUGUGUGUGUGUGUGUGUGUGUGUGUGUGUGUGUGUGUGUGUGUGUCGUAGGAGAGACAGGGUUUUCUUGAGUUGAAGAAAAGACUGGACAGGGUGUCUGGGGAAAAGGAAGGAUUAAAAUUGCCACUGUAUUGAAAUCAAUCCAAUAUGUCAUUCUCUGUAUGUUUUGUUUUUUUGACUUGAGAAAAAAAUAAAGUUUUACUACAGGUUG